rnacentral:rRNA from 1 species
UACGAAGGGGGCUAGCGUUGUUCGGAAUUACUGGGCGUAAAGGGCGCGUAGGCGGUGUGUCAAGUCAGGCGUGAAAGCCCCGGGCUCAACCUGGGAACCGCGCUUGAGACUGGCACGCUCGAGUUCGGGAGAGGAUGGUGGAAUUCCCAGUGUAGAGGUGAAAUUCGUAGAUAUUCGGAAGAACACCAGUGGCGAAGGCGGCUUACUGGCCCAUUACUGACGCUGAGGCUCGAAAGCGUGGGGAGCAAACAGG